GGAACCCUUGUAUACUGUUGGUGGGAAUGUUGGUGGGUAUAGCUGAUGUGUGUAUAUAUAUAUAUAUACACACACAUACACACACACACACACACACACACACACACACCUGGAUGUGGAAUUACUGUAUUAUAUGGUAAUUAUUUAUAAAUUAAAGGGUACAUUUUUAAUUUUUUGAGGAUCUGACAUACUGUUUUCCUUAGAAGCUCUAUCAUUUUACAUUCCCUCCAACAGUAUACAAGGGUUCCAAGUUCCUCAUAUACUCACCAACACUUGUUGUUUUCUGUUUUUGUUUUUGUUUAUUUAAUGGCCAUGGUAAUGGGUGUGAUGAUGUAGACUUGAUUUCCCUUGCGCUAAUAAUUAGUGAUGUUGAGCAUCUUUUUAUGUGCUUGUUGGUCAUUUGUAUAUCUUCUUUGGAGAAAUGCCUAUUUAAGUCCUUUGUCCACUUUUGAAUCUGGUUGUUUGUUUUGUUGCCAUUGUUGAGUUUUAGGAGUUCUCUAUAUAUCUUGAUAUUAAUCCCCUAUCAGAUAUAUUAUUUGCAAAUAUUUUUCCUAAUUCUGUGUCUUGCCUUUUUACUCUGUUGAUAGUAUGUUUUGAUGUACAAAAUUUUUAAAUUUUAAUGAAGUCCAAAUUGUCUAUUUUUUCUUCUAUUGCCUGUGCCUUUGGUGUCAUAUCCAAGAGAUCAUUGCCAAAUUGAAUGUUGUGAAAAUUUUUCCUUGUGUUUUCUAUUGAGCUUUAUAGUUUUAGGUCUCAUACUUAGGUCUUGUAUACAUUUUGAGUUUAUGUGAGUUUAUUUUUGUACAUGGUGUUAGAAAUGUUUUGUAGCCUUCGUUGUACAGGUCUUUUACCUCCAUGGUUAAGUUAAUUUCCAAGUAAUCUAUUCUGUUCUUUUUGUUUUUGUUUUUGUUUUGAGACAGAAUAUCACUCUGUCACCCAGGCUGGAGCGCAGUGGCCUGAUCUUGGCCCACUGCAACUUUCACCUCCCAGGUUCAAGAGAUUUUCCUGCCUCAGCCUCCCGAGUAACAGAUUACAGGCAGAACUUCCUUUAGCACUUCUUACAGGGCAGGUCUAGUGGCAACAAACUCCCUCAGCUUUUGUUCAUUGGUGAAUGCCUAUUUCUCCCUCACUUUUGAAGGACAGUUUUGCCAGAUAGAGAAUUCGUGGCUAGCAGGUUUUUGUUUUGUUUUGUUUUGUUUUUCCUUUAGCACUUUAAAUAUAUUAGCCCACUGUCUUCUAGUCUUCAGAGUUUCUGAUGACAAAUCUGCUAAUAAUCUUAUUGGGAAUCCCUGUUUAUAAUGAGUUGCUUUUUUCUUGCUGCUCUCCAAAUUCUCUGUUUGUCUUUGUCUUUCAACAGUUUAGACACAAUGUAUCUCGGUAGGGGUCUCUUUGGGUUCUUGCUACUUGGAUUUCAUUGAGUUUCUUGGAUAUUUAUACUCAUGGCUUUUAUCAGAUUUGAAAAGUUUUCAGUCAUUAUUUUUUCAAAUACUCUAUGUGGCCCUUUCUCUUUUCCUUUUGAACUCUUAUAAUGAGUGUGUUUGUCUGCUUGAAGAUGUUCCAUGGGUCCCUUGGUCUCUGUUCAAUUUUCUUUAGUCUUUCUGUUCUCAGACUCAAUAAUUUUCAUUGUUGUGUGUUUAGGUUUCCUGAUUCUUUAUUCCACCUGCUCCAAUCUGUCUCUGAGUUCCUCUAGUGAAUUUUUUAUUUCAGUUUUUGUACCUUUCAGCUCCAGAAAGUUUCCCAAAAGGGAGGAAAGAGAAAAAUUGAAGUGGAUGGGGAGAAGGAAAAGGGCCCCAGCCUUUUAAAUCCCCUAGAAGUCACUUCAAUCCAAGAGAAAGUGGCUUAGAACAAUGAGAGGAAGUGUAACACCAUUAGCUGCCACCAUUUUGUCUGCUUUUGUGUGAUCAGAAGCAGCAAUCAGUGAUCAGUGCACAGAUAUCCAAUAUUUGGAUGACAGGGUAAUUUUUUGCAGGAUGCUCUCCUGAGUCCUAUACCAUAAGCUGUUUGCAGGCUAUUUUAGGAACACAGGCAUAAUUACCUGCCUCAGGGGUAAGGAGUGUUGAAUGGGAAGCUGUUGCUGUGCUAAGAGCUGUAAUUGACCAAAAUUUAAGAUAAUUUACAGUCCAAGCCUUCCCUUGGAAAUUGUAAGCAGUGAGUAGACUCCAGAGUUCCAAAACAGCCAUAUCAAACAGAUUCUGCCAGUGCAGUACUGUUGUCUAAGUGGGGAGAGAGAUUUCCAGAGCUUCUUGCUCUGUCAUCUUCCUAGAAUCCUCUCUUUAAUUAAUUCUUGCUUUAUUAAAGUAUAUCUUGUUUUUUCCUAGGGUUUAUGCUCUAAUAUCUUUUAUGUGUAGUUGAAAUACAUUUUUUUUCUUAUUUAUUAGUUAAUAUAUUUAUAACUAGUAGAAUCAUUGCUUCAAGUAUGUAUACCUUAGGCCAAUCUUCAAAGACUUUGAAAUAUAAUAUUAUUAUUAUCAUUAUUUUCCAACUAUUCUGUUUCGAGUCAAGGGUAGUGUGUUUGAAGUUUUUAUUCACAAUAACCUCAAUUUUUGUUAAUGAUUAAUUUCUAGUUUUUAUAUCUUUGGUUAAAGGGUGAUAUCUAUAGUCUACCUUUUAUAGAAUUAUGACUAUUUCCUUUAUAACAAAUUUGUGAAUGUUUCAUGAGCAUUUAAACAGAAGAUAUGCUCUCUGUUUCUUAGCACAAAAUUUAUUAUAAGGUUAUUGUUAUUUUCCCCUUGUAUUUUAUUUCUGGCUAUUUUUAUUUUGUAUCAUUCACCAUUUUUUUUUUUUGGUGCAAAAAGCUUCAUGCCAGUUAUAUCUUAACUGAUUUAUAUAUGUCCUUAAUAAUUGAAAGUUACCACUUUUUCCCAUCUAAUGCUAUUUAAUAUUAAAUUCUAUUUGUCAAUAU
rnacentral:lncRNA from 1 species